rnacentral:rRNA from 1 species
UACAGGGGGGGCUAGCGUUACUUAACGUUACUUGGCGUAAAGGGCACGUAGACGAUUUUUGUAUAGUUAAGCUUGAAAUCCUUGCUUUGCAAGAAGAGGGCUUAAAACUUAAAAAUUAGAGUUUAUUAGAGGAUGAUGGAAUUUCCAAUGUAGUGGUACAAUGCGGCGAUAUUGGGAGGAAUGUUCGAGGUGAACACGAUCAUCUGGUUUAAACUGACGUUCAGGUGCGAAGGUAUGGGGAUCAAGCGGG